AUAUACGGCCAUAUCACGUUGAAUGCACAGGUUCUCGUCCGAUCACCCAAGUUUCGCAAUGUCGACCCUAGUGAGUACUUAGAUGGGUGACCGCUUAGGAAACCUAGGUGUUGAAAGCA
rnacentral:rRNA from 1 species